GUUUGAUCCUGGACUCAGAGCGAACGCUGGCGGCGUGCUUAACACAUGCAAGUCGAACGUGAAAUGUAGCAAUACAGAGUAAAGUGGCGUACGGGUGAGUAACACGUGGGUAAUCUACCUUAGAGUCUGGAAUAACAUGCCGAAAGGCGUGCUAAUACUGGAUAGUUCAAGCGAAAUGUAGAGUUUCGAUUGGGGAAAGGGAGCCGGUAACGGCCUUUUGCUUUAAGAUGAGCCCGCGUCUGAUUAGCUAGUUGGUGAGGUAAUGGCUCACCAAGGCGAUGAUCAGUAGCUGGUCUGAGAGGAUGAUCAGCCACACUGGAACUGAAACACGGUCCAGACUCCUACGGGAGGCAGCAGUGGGGAAUCUUGCGCAAUGGACGAAAGUCUGACGCAGCCACGCCGCGUGAGUGAAGAAGGCCUCGG
rnacentral:rRNA from 1 species